AACUAUAUUUUCUUGGGCCCCAACACCACAGCUCAAGCCAACCUUGUACAAAAACUAAAACUACUUUAUUGUGCAAACAACCCAGUUAAAGCUUUGAUGGCAGUUAACGCCAUCUCUCAUUUCCACACCGCCUCCUGAUGGUAUUCUGGUUAGGUCUGAUCUUUCUUCAUCUCUGUUUGCUGCUAUGCAAACUACUGUGUCUCUGUGUUGACUGGUGUGGCCCUCACUUUCUUCACCUUCAUCUGCUCGCUUCAUUGUCCUCACUAUUCUCAGAGAGACCCUUGUGCUUCUUGCUCUCUUCAGACUGAAUCCUCUACAAGCAUGGAGCAAACAGCUGAAAAUACUUUACAAUUUUUAACACCAACAUAAUCGCAGAUAAUUUCACUUUUUUCACUGCGUUCAUGAGGCAUUUUAAGGCUUUGCAACUCACACGACCCCACUUCAAAAAACCAAACCAUCCAUGUAAACAGACUUUUAUCCAAACUGCACAUAGAAAAGUAGGCUACAUCUGUUUCUCAGACUGUUUCUGUUAGUAAAGUGCUAGUUAACGGGGAAGUUUCCAGAUUGCUGUAAGUCAAGAUUUUGGUUUAAAGUGGAUUGGUUCUGUAGUGUUUACUGUAAUUCUAUCUAGAAUCUAUGAUGAUUUAUGCACUGUUAACUUCAUUCAUGGUGGAAGGUGUUUUUCUUCACACCAAAAAGGUCCCUGACAAUAAGUCCAGUUUCAUGCAGUUAAUAGUUUGAAGUGAAACAGUGGUCCCCUUUGUAAAUCUUCAAGUAACAGAGACACGACUUUGAUAUGACUCAGAGUCUUCUCUGGUGACUGGGACUCAAACAACGGGGACUUGAGGCUCGGCUGACUCAAGGUUUGAUGACUUGUCUGCAAUAAACUUGUAAAAGACAAAUAAACAUGUCCACAAUGUUGUCAGGCUUCGUAGGAAUUUAAGGUCUUUGCUCUAAGCGAAACAUCAUAUGAGAACAAUCUCACACCCUUCUCACUCAGACUUUCUGACUGUCAUGUAUCUUAACUUAUUCAGUGCCAGGUUCAUUUAUGCAAUUUUCACCCCAUGCCACCAUUGACUGCAGUAGAAGUUUUCCAUGUCUUUCAGGGCCCACAGAAUAUCUUGUGCUUGGACUAGAAUUAAGUGCAAUAUCUCAAAAGAAAAGGGUGAUUCUCUUCUUUCACCAGAAAAAAAGUUUGUCUCUAACCCACUUCUGUAUUUAGUUAUUGCCUGCACAAUGCAUUGUGGUCAUAUCAUCUUUUCCCAUCUGGAAAAAGAAACCUGGGAAAAACACAUUUUUAUAAAGGAGAGACUUUGCAGCAGAACUGUAAUCGUCUGUUUCAUUUCACUUCAAGCUACUUUACCGGCGUCAUCAAGGUCCUCCCUCCUUGGAUACCACUCCUCAUCACUCUCGAGAUCUGAUUGUGAUAGGUCACUAUGUUACGGCUCGGAGCCGUAUUGAUUCUUGAGAAUCUAAUACUGCAACGUAAACCACACGGACUGCUCACGUCCUCCUUGCCGGGACUGUUGCUGAAUUCCGGUUCAGUUUCCCUCACCAGUACCUGCAGCAGUGGCAAAAUGACACACCGGAAAAUUGUUUCCUUGAUUGUCUGCUGACAAUGUGAGGGUCUGGUACCGGGAUCUCCACUGGAUUCAGAGAUGGUAGCACCGCGCCCACAGGAGCCGAUGCGCCAAAGCUGUAAGCUCUUGGCUAAUGACUUCGGCAUUUUCCUACUCCCCUAAUAGAGAAGAAACACUCCACAACUAGGCACACUUGAUGGUACACUUCUCAUUGGCGAGUACUUGUUUUUGUUGUUGAAACAUGGUUAUGAUGUAUUUGUCGGCCUUCUGCAUUCGGAACGAUCCCAAACUUAGUCACAUGUUGGGGAGGAUCGUCCUCUGGUGGAAGAAAGAAAAAAGUGAAAAAUCCAUCAAAAUCCAUUAAUGGCACUCAGGGCAAAAAAAAAAAAAAAAGGAAAUCCGUCCAAAUCCAUCAUUGGCACUGAAUGAGUUAAAGGGAUAUUCUGACACGAAUUGAAGUCAUGGUCAACCACACUGUAACACAGAGUUAGAAACCCCUUUAAGAGAUGAAUGUUGGUGACCGCUUGCUUCUCUAGUUAUGUCAACUUUAGUAGCCACGUCAGAUAGCAAUACAGACAGCUAUGCGCUCAACCAAAAAGCCACUUUAUAGCCACAAAUAAUGCUUAGAACAGCACCUAACUUCAUCAACAGUACAUAAAGGGUCCCAGCCAUAGUACUAGACACCAAACAUCUUUUUAGUUUUGCCUGGUUUCUUAAGCAAAGAGACCAAACACAACUUACCCACUCUCCUCCAGCAGCCGCUUGUUUGUGGGGGAGCCCUGAAGAGUCGAUCACCGAGUAUAACUAGAGAAGCAAGCAGUCAACAACAUUCAUCUCUUGAAGGGGUGUCUAACUCAGUGUUACAGUGUGUUUGAGCCAAGCUUAAAUUUACACCAAAAUAUCCCUUUAAUAUAUUACCUUCCUACUAUAUAAAUAAAAUUGGAUUGCUUGAUGAUUGAUUGAUUGACCUUUCACCUCUAAGUGACAAAGUUUUGGUGUUUGAGGUUGUACAUGUUUUCUUGGGCCCAAACUGCCACUAUAGGCUGCUGACAUUAGGGGAAAAGAAUACAUGUUUAAAGCUCAUGAACAUGUUAAAUCAAGAGAACUGUGACUAUAACUGUUCGACAGUUGUGAUUGAAUUUAGAUUUUCACCCCAAAUGUGAAUGUGAUGUCUUGUAGUGAUCCAGGUUUUCUUACAGAUGGACUGAAGCAGAUGGUGGAAGCACUUGAUCAUGUGACUAAGUGGGAAGAAGAGGUGUAGAGAGGCUCCAGAAGGAGGAGACACUGAUGCAUAUGAAAUGUGCCUGUUGUUGUGAAGAAUACUACUGUGCUGACUUACUGGAGUGUCUCUUCUUGUGUGGUGUUUCUGUACAGGCAACAAAUAUAAUGUAGCCUACACGGUGUGUGUGUGUGUGUGUGUGUGUGUGUGUGUGUGUGUGUGUGUGUGUGUGUGUGUGUGUGUGUGUGUGUGUGUGUGUGUGUGUGUGUUUUUUUUUCUGUUUGGUGACUCUGCCAAUAGUCCGGGGGCCAGAUGUAGCCCUCAGAAUGUUUACUGCUACCUUUUUUUCACUAUGAUUUCCAGUUAGCCUAUAUCUUGGGCCAUCCCAAGAUAAUAGGGACCACCCUCAACUCGGGGCCGUUUGGUUUCAGGGGCCCAAAAACCCAAUUAUGGGGCCCCUGAUUACCUAAAUGCAAAUAUCAAGGUGCUGCACCAACACAAACUGACAGAAAAGUCUAAAAUUUGGCAUGGAGUAUCCUGACACAUAAGGGUAAGUAGAUAAACACGAUUCAGGACCUUGCUGCAGUUUAAUUCUGAAAUAUCACACUCAACAUCCCAAUGAACACUCGAAAAUUACUGUCUGCUUGAUAGAUCUUCAUCAAUAUGACUGUUUUUCAGCACUUUAUGAUGACCAUCACUCCUGCACUGGUAUAUAGAAAACUUCCCAUGUUCAUAAGCUUCGAUUUGAGCCCAAGAUGACCUCUCUAUGUUGAAUAUUACUCUUUCUGUGGCCAAAAUCCUGCACUAUACCACAAAUUUGAGAAAAUGGCAUUUUCAGUCACUACCCUUUCAGUGAGCACCCACAUUUCCCUGUGAGUAUUGACUUUCUCCACCCAAGUCCACCUUGCUGCCAAUCGUCUCUUAAUUGUCUAUUUAUUUCACCUGUCCUGUUAAUACUUGUGUUUGAGUCUUGAGUUCUUGUCAGUCUGUGCACCACUGUAUACAAUAUAUCUGCACGUUCCUGCCAUUUUCGUCAAGAAAUUGAAGAAUGAACUGAAUACCACAUCACUACAGAUUCAAGGUAUGCUUUAUGUUAUCCAUGACUAGACCACUUGAACCCUGUAUGGGUAACAGGAGUCCCUCGGGGCUCACUACUAGUGAUUUUCUGUUUUCUGUUAUUGCUGCGAAAGCUUCUGCUGUGAAUAGCUGAUUGAAAAGCUCACAAGAGCUUGUUGGUCUGCUAUUGUCAGUGAAUGCUUUCCCCGCAAUACCAAUGCUGGGGUUUAGUGGUUAAUGUUCAUCAUUAUAUAGUUUGUGUAACUAAGAUUUAAAAGUAUAAGUUUAAACUAUACCUUCACAAUCCAUAAAUUCAUUUCAAAUAUUUCAGAUUUACCAGACUGAACAUACUCAAUUUGUACGACAAGAGCCAACAGUUAAGGUAUUAUUUUAUAAAGGUAAGCUUCAUUAUCACACUUCAUUGUUUUCAUAUGUGACUGGAAGUGAGAAGACAUAUGAACAUUUGCCCUUUUCUCAUGUAGGAUUAUAAUAUAAUGGGUUACAACUGCAACAACAUCAGUCUGUGCAUAUUUGAGGUAAUAUGAAUACAUUCAUGAAAUAUCUAAUACCUUUGAAUUAAUGUUAAUUUGCACCCUUAAUAACACACCCUUUGUUGCAAUGAUUAUACUGAUUUUCAGGUGGUUGCAUUGCAACAUGUAAAGCAGUAAACAUGUCAAAGCAACAACAAAAGGAUGAAGCCUGGUCACCUUGCCAGAGUUCAUCAAAGAUGGAGAAUGUGCUACCACCUCAGUCACGCAUGGAAAAUUGCAAUUUGCAUGGUUGCAAGGGGGAAGUAAAUUAUGGCUUUGUGGCAUUUUCUUCUAAGGCUGAUCCACUGAGGACAUAUAAGGAAAUUCAUGAUAUGAAAUCCAAACUUUUGACACAAACAUCUGACUGCAGCGGUAUGCUAGAUGUUUGCGAUUCCUGAUGAAUCGUCCUUAGAUAGUGGAUAUCACAGAAACUGUCAACGCACAUUUUUCCGUGAUGCAACCCGUGCCUUAGCAAGAACAUGCCAAGCAGUAAAUCACAGACCAAAACGUGAGCAUAUGGAUUCUUCAGUUUUGUUGGGCAAUUACUGCAUAUUCUGCAAAAGUGGCACUGUGAAGCGAGCUUCAGGCAAGAGAUAUAGCUUGCAGAAAUUCCAGUCCACUGCAUAUAAAUCUAUUGAGACAAAAGCUAUGGAACUAGGUGAUGAAGAUCUGUUAUGCAAAAUUGUGGGUGUGGAUCUUGUUGCUAGGCAGGCACAAUUUCAUGACUGCUGUCGCAAGCAGUACUUGGUAAAGUGAGCAUCUCAGUCUGAUAGCACAGAUGCAGCAUCGACAAAGAAAGCAAUGAUAAGUAAAGCUUUCACUCAGUUAUAUGACCACAUACAAACUGAAAUUAUUCAAAAAGUUCAGGUUGUCAAACGUGCUUAUCUUACAGAUUUGUAUAAUGAUACAUUGAGAAAAUUUGAAGGAUCUGCUUCUCCAAUAACAGCUCACAACCUCAGAUAAAAAAUUGAAUGCCAUCCUAAUCUCAAAGAUAGUGUUGACUUCUCAUCUUUCCCAUUCAAAAACACGUUAGUGUUUUGUCGUUCCCAGGAAUCGAUGAAGACAACAGUGCGUUCAGCUUAUGAGAUGGGAAAUACUGAUUGGAGUAAAGAAAUCAGCCAUGACCUUCACCAGAAAAUCAUAAAAUCAUUCAAAAAUUCAGAACCACUGACAUGGCCCCCUACAGCUCAUGAUAUCCCAGAAUCAAAAAAAGAGAUUCCCUCUGAGGUUUUACAAUUUGUAUUAAACCUAAUCUGUGGUGAUAAAAAGCCAUCACAAAAACCAUCACAUACGGAGGAAUGUCUAGCAAUCUCCAUCUCCCAAUACCUCUGCAGAGCAGUGACAUCAGGCCGAUGGAAGAUGAAGAAACACAUCUUGCUAUGUAUGACACUAAGGCAUCUCUUCAGAUCCAAGAGCAUAACCUGAUCAAUAAGCUUGGCCACUGUAAAUCAUACUCAUACUCACUGGAACUUGAAACGGCUCUGGCAAAUUCAAUAGUGGAAAGAGCAUCAAUAAUAAGCCAAUCUGACAUUAUCAGGGGACAACCUGACAUUAUCAGGGGACAACCUGACGGGGCAGUCUUCCAUAGUGACUGGGACAAUUUUGAUCAGCUGGUAUCAAAUAUAUAUGGUGCAGGGUCCAUUCAUACCACUGCAGGAAUCUACAUGCAACCUCAGUACAGCCUAGACAAGAUCCUACCACUCGACCUACAACAAAACAAAGAUCGUUCAAAAGGCCUGCUCAGGAUUUGCCAACUUACUACAAGCGGAAACGGUCAGAACCAGUACUGGCAGCGUCCAAUUCAAAUACUGCAGCCACAUGCAGCAACUCAAAAUCAGAUUCUGAUCUUGUUUGGGUCAUUGCUCGUAAAAUCAACUCCAUGGAUCAGCACAUCCCUGGUUUGUCAGGCUGGUUGUCGGUAACUGGCUGUUCUCCAAAAUGUCUCACCACAAUUGGGUAUUAUCCCAUGAUCAAUGCGCCAAUAACAGAAUUGUCAACCAUUCAAGAGUGCCUUCAAUGCAUCCUCUGAAGCUGGACAAGAGUACACCAUCAGUACAUUUGACCUAGGGGUUUGCAUGAAAGCCUACCCUCUAAUAUGGAAUGAAGCUGAGAGAUACAAAAAACACAUAAUCCUCAUUGGCACAUUCUAUUGCUGUGGAGGAUACUUGAAAGGCAUAGGCAAAAGAUACUGUCAGGGUAGUUGAUGGGUAGAAGUGGCUUUAGAAGCUAAACUAAUCACCACCAGCUCUGUGAAUGGAGUCACUGAUGGGAAGAAUUGGGAUAGAGCUAUGAACACACACAAGUCCAUGCUCGAAGCUCUCGAGAGACUCCUAUAUGAAAAGUAUCUGGAAAAUCAUGAACCACUCUCCUCUGAA